UACGUAGGGUGCAAGCGUUGUCCGGAAUUAUUGGGCGUAAAGAGCUCGUAGGCGGUCUGUCGCGUCUGGUGUGAAAAUCCAGGGCUUAACCCUGGACCUGCAUCGGGUACGGGCAGACUAGAGUGCGGUAGGGGAGAAUCGGAAUUCCUGGUGUAGCGGUGAAAUGCGCAGAUAUCAGGAGGAACACCGGUGGCGAAGGCGGAUCUCUGGGCCAUAACUGACGCUGAGGAGCGAAAGCAUGGGGAGCGAACAGG
rnacentral:rRNA from 1 species